UGCGUAGGGUGCGAGCGUUAAUCGGAAUUACUGGGCGUAAAGCGUGCGCAGGCGGUUUUGUAAGCCAGAUGUGAAAGCCCCGGGCUUAACCUGGGAAUGGCAUUUGGGACUGCAAGGCUUGAGUGCGGCAGAGGAGACUGGAAUUCCUGGUGUAGCAGUGAAAUGCGUAGAUAUCAGGAGGAAUACCGAUGGCGAAGGCAGGUCUCUGGGCUGACACUGACGCUCAUGCACGAAAGCGUGGGGAGCAAACAGG
rnacentral:rRNA from 1 species